rnacentral:rRNA from 1 species
GCAGCAGCCGCGGUAAUACGGAGGGUGCAAGCGUUAAUCGGAAUUACUGGGCGUAAAGCGCACGCAGGCGGUCUGACAAGUCAGAUGUGAAAUCCCCGGGCUUAACCUGGGAACUGCAUUUGAAACUGUCAGGCUGGAGUCUUGUAGAGGGGGGUGGAAUUCCAGGUGUAGCGGUGAAAUGCGUAGAGAUCUGGAGGAAUACCGGUGGCGAAGGCGGCCCCCUGGACAAAGACUGACGCUCAGGUGCGAAAGCGUGGGGAGCAAACAGGAUUAGAUACCCGUGUAGUCCCUGUCUCUUAUAA